rnacentral:rRNA from 1 species
GACAGAGGAUGCAAGCGUUAUCCGGAAUGAUUGGGCGUAAAGCGUCUGUAGGUGGCUUUUCAAGUCCGCCGUCAAAUCCCAGGGCUCAACCCUGGACAGGCGGUGGAAACUACCAAGCUGGAGUACGGUAGGGGCAGAGGGAAUUUCCGGUGGAGCGGUGAAAUGCGUAGAUAUCGUUUGGAACGCCAAUGGUGAAAACAGGCGACUGGGGAUGUGCUGACGCUGAGACACGAAAGCCAGGGGAGCAAACGGG